GCUGUGUGGAGAAAGGUACCUGGGUGCAGGGCUUCAGGGCUCUGCAUCCGGCCACUGGAGAGAAUGAGACAGAGAAGCCCUCAGGUUAUUAACAACAAUCAAAGUAGCUCCCAAGUGUCUUUAAUAAGGGAGAAGAGAGUAAUGUGGACUCCUCCAGGUUGAAUCUAUUCUUCCACCCUGCCUCCCGGAAUCCUCAGCCACUCUGAGAGCCGGCUGUCAUUAUUACCUCCAUUCCGCAAGUCAGGGGACUAAGGCUUAGAGAACAGAAGGCACUUGCUCAGGGUCACACGUCCAGGGAGGGGCAAACAAAGGAUUUCAUUUUUUUUAAAGAUUUUAUUUAUUAAAAAAAAUAAAGAUUUUAUUUAUUUAUUCAUGAGACACACACACACAGAUGCUAUUCAUGAGACACACACACACACACACACACACAGAUGCAGAGACAUAGGCAGAGGGAGAAGCAGGCUCCCCGUGAGGAAACUGAUGCAGGACUCCAUCCCAGGACCCCGGUGAUCAUGACCUGAGCCGAAGGCAGAUGUUCAAGUACUGAGCCACCCAGGCACCCCAAGGAUUUCAUUCCUGAUCUUGUGAGCUGCAGGGUUCUUUCAGCUGCCCCAGUGGGCUGGCUAUAGAAAGCCAGUGUUGAAGAUCUUCACCGCCCAUUGAAAGGAAUAAACAUGAGCUCUUACUCUUCUUGUUAUCAGAAUAUUUCUCUCCCUGAAAGGAAUCUGCAACUAAAAAGAUAAAAAAAUAAAUCCCCAUUUUACCACUUACUAGCUGUGUAACUCUGAAUCAUUCAAUUAAGCUGUCUGUGCCUCAGUUUAUUCUCCUGCAGCAAUGGGCCAACUCAAAGAGCUGUCAGGCAGAGUGAUGAGUUAGGACAUGCAAAGCCCCUCGUAGAAUGCCAGACACACAGUAAAUGUUCAAGUGUUGAUUAAUGAUGAUGAUGGCAGUGGUGGUUUUUUACUGAGCAUGAGGACUCAAGCCACCUACCGGGUGAACCUGUACUGGAGUUGCUGGGAUACUCGGGAGCAAGGAGGACAAUGCAUGGGGAAGCUGAGAUUUGGGCUGAAAAAUCAGCCCUUGCACUUGAAAAGAAGAAUCCGGUCUCUCAGGGUCGGAGGGGCCAUAGACACCAACUGCCACCUGUCAGGCCUCUGGGACUCUGUGAGAGGGGCUCCUUCACACUCAGAGCUGGCUGAGCUAUUUUUAGUGAUGACAGCAGCUGGCCUCCAGGUCCUCCCAGCAAGCCUGGAGGAGGAAGCCUGGAUGACUCUUUGGGCCAGGAACCUCAGCUGAAGCCUCUUGGAAUCAUGUGCCGUGCCUUCUGCAGCAUCUGGUGCAGGUGGUAUCAUUAGAAUCAUGUGGGGAGCUUCAACACAACUUCCAUGCCCAUGACCCAGUCCUGAUCAAUAAAGCAGAGUCCAGGCUGGGUGGAGCCA
rnacentral:lncRNA from 12 species